UGAGGUGUACUUGUAAAUAUAAAAAAUACUUCUCUCUCACUCUUCUCUUGUAGGUGAUUACUUUGGACUAUGGCAGGGGAAAUGAGAACCCUAUCAAUAGUAUGCAUUUCUACACCAAGCAUAACCCUAAUGAUGCAUUCAGGCUCACCGGAGACCAGAUGUCCAUGAGUCUCCCGCAAUGCUUUUCUGAGCUGAUCAUCAGGGCUUACUGCAAGGAAACUGAUGACGACAGCCUGAAUGAUGCAGCACAUCAGUUUGAGGAGUUCAAAGACUGGCUUACAGCUGUAUAGUAAUAUCUAGAUAUAUUGUAAGCUGUUAAAUGUUUUACAGCUUUUUAUGUUCUCCCUGAGUUCACCAUAGGACACCUACAUUAGCAUUUGACAGAUGUACCACCCCAGUCAAAGUCCCCACCUGCCACUGUCCCCAGUGUCAGCUCUACGCUUCCUGUCUGUGUUCUGUUAGUCAUGAUGUACAGGAUGAACUCAGCAUGUACUCACAAUACAUUCUGGUGGAAAAAUACUAAACAUGACACAUGAACAUAAUGAUAAUGACAGCAAUUAACAAUAAUGAUGAUAAGCAUGGAAAUGACAAUAAUCCAAUUUGACUCUAUUCAGCAGAAAACCAGAACAUCAUGGUUUAUUGUUGUCCUAUUACAGAGGGUAUACAAAAUGAUCAGUUCCCCAUUUUACUCUUCUUUACUGGAUAAGUAAAAAAA